UGGAACGUAGCUCAGCAGGAAGAAGCAGUCGCAUGAGUCGACAAGGGCGCAGGUUCGAGUCCUGCCGUUCCAA
rnacentral:tRNA from 1 species